rnacentral:rRNA from 1 species
UACGUAGGUGGCAAGCGUUGUCCGGAUUUACUGGGCGUAAAGAGCGCGCAGGCGGUCGGAUAAGUCGAAUGUGAAAGCCCCCGGCUCAACUGGGGAGGGUCAUUCGAUACUGUUCGACUCGAAGGCAGGAGAGGGAAGUGGAAUUCCCGGUGUAGUGGUGAAAUGCGUAGAUAUCGGGAGGAACACCAGUGGCGAAGGCGACUUCCUGGCCUGUUCUUGACGCUGAGGCGCGAAAGCUAGGGGAGCAAACGGGG